AUGAAGCUUCUGGCAAUUGCACUUGUGUUUGUGUUAGCAAGCUCUUGUAUGGCAAAUGAUAAAAGAAAUUUAGUGCCACAAAUGUUUGAAAAUCAUUUAUGCACAGAAGGAGGUAGUCACAAACUCAUUGAUCAGAAUAAUCUCCAUGGCCGGAAGAACUUUGGCAAGCCCGGUGGAGCUAACCAGUUUGGUAUCAAUGAUGAUAAUGAUCAUCAUUACAUUCCUCGCAAGGAUUAUGGGACGCAUCCUGGCAAUGAAUGA